UAGGGAAUCUUCCACAAUGGACGCAAGUCUGAUGGAGCAACGCCGCGUGAGUGAAAAAGGUUUUCGGAUCGUAAAGCUCUGUUGUUGGUGAAGAAGGAUAGAGGUAGUAACUGGCCUUUAUUUGACGGUAUCAACCAGAAAGUCACUGCUAACUACGUGCCAGCAGCCGCGGUAAUACGUAGGUGGCAAGCGUUGUCCGGAUUUAUUGGGCGUAAAGCGAGCGCAGGCGGAAGAAUAAGUCUGAUGUGAAAGCCCUCGGCUUAACCGAGGAACUGCAUGGGAAACUGUGUUUCUUGAGUGCAGAAGAGGAGAGUGGAAUUCCAUGUGUAGCGGUGGAAUGCGUAGAUAUAUGGAAGAACACCAGUGGCGAAGGCGACUCUCUGGUCUGCAACUGACGCUGAGGCUCGAAAGCAUGGGUAGCGAACAGG
rnacentral:rRNA from 1 species